rnacentral:miRNA from 1 species
UGAUUCGAACGUCACCAUCCAACA